GACGAACGCUGGCGGCGUGCUUAACACAUGCAAGUCGAACGGAAAGGCCCUGCUUUUGUGGGGUGCUCGAGUGGCGAACGGGUGAGUAACACGUGAGUAACCUGCCCUUGACUUUGGGAUAACUUCAGGAAACUGGGGCUAAUACCGUAUAGGAUCUCCUGCUGCAUGGUGGGGGUUGGAAAGUUUCGGCGGUUGGGGAUGGACUCGCGGCUUAUCAGCUUGUUGGUGGGGUAGUGGCUUACCAAGGCUUUGACGGGUAGCCGGCAUGAGAGGGUGACCGGCCACAUUGGGACUGCGAUACGGCCCAGACUCCUACGGGAGGCAGCAGUGGGGAAUAUUGCACAAUGGGCGGAAGCCUGAUGCAGAAACGCCGCGUGCGGGAUGACGGCCUUCGGGUUGUAAACCGCUUUCGCCUGUGACGAAGCGUGAGUGACGGUAAUGGGUAAAGAAGCACCGGCUAACUACGUG
rnacentral:rRNA from 1 species